AGAGUUUGAUCAUGGCUCAGAUUGAACGCUGGCGGCAGGCCUAACACAUGCAAGUCGAACGGUAACAUUUCUAGCUUGCUAGAAGAUGACGAGUGGCGGACGGGUGAGUAAUGCUUGGGAACUUGCCUUUGCGAGGGGGAUAACAGUUGGAAACGACUGCUAAUACCGCAUAAUGUCUACGGACCAAACGGGGCUUUUAGCUCCGGCGCAAAGAGAGGCCCAAGUGAGAUUAGCUAGUUGGUAAGGUAAUGGCUUACCAAGGCAACGAUCUCUAGCUGUUCUGAGAGGAAGAUCAGCCACACUGGAACUGAGACACGGUCCAGACUCCUACGGGAGGCAGCAGUGGGGAAUAUUGCACAAUGGGGGAAACCCUGAUGCAGCCAUGCCGCGUGUGUGAAGAAGGCCUUCGGGUUGUAAAGCACUUUCAGUUGUGAGGAAAAGUUAGUAGUUAAUACCUGCUAGCCGUGACGUUAACAACAGAAGAAGCACCGGCUAACUCCGUGCCAGCAGCCGCGGUAAUACGGAGGGUGCGAGCGUUAAUCGGAAUUACUGGGCGUAAAGCGCACGCAGGCGGCUUGUUAAGCUAGAUGUGAAAGCCCCGGGCUCAACCUGGGAUAGUCAUUUAGAACUGGCAGACUAGAGUCUUGGAGAGGGGAGUGGAAUUCCAGGUGUAGCGGUGAAAUGCGUAGAUAUCUGGAGGAACAUCAGUGGCGAAGGCGACUCCCUGGCCAAAGACUGACGCUCAUGUGCGAAAGUGUGGGUAGCGAACAGGAUUAGAUACCCUGGUAGUCCACACCGUAA
rnacentral:rRNA from 1 species